rnacentral:ncRNA from 2 species
UUAAGGCUUGGUGUUGGGAAACUCCGGUGAAAUUCCGGGACUGUGCCGCAGCUGUGAUGGGAUCGCCCAAGUCAGAAUGCCAACUCUCAA